CACGUAGGGCGCAAGCGUUGUCCGGAAUUAUUGGGCGUAAAGAGCUCGUAGGCGGUCUGUUGCGUCCGCUGUGAAAACUCGGGGCUUAACCCCGAGCCUGCAGUGGAUACGGGCAGACUAGAGGUAGGUAGGGGAGAAUGGAAUUCCCGGUGUAGCGGUGAAAUGCGCAGAUAUCGGGAGGAACACCGGUGGCGAAAGCGGCUCUCUGGAACGGUACUGACGCUGAGACGCGAAAGCGUGGGGAGCGAACAGG
rnacentral:rRNA from 1 species